GAUCCUGGCUCAGGACGAACGCUGGCGGCGUGCUUAACACAUGCAAGUCGAACGAGAGGACAAGAGAAGCUUGCUUCUUUUGGAAUCGAGUGGCAAACGGGUGAGUAACACGUAGACAACCUGCCUUCAAGAUGGGGACAACAGACGGAAACGACUGCUAAUACCGAAUACGCUUGGGAGACCGCAUGAUCUUCCAAGGAAAGGGUGGCCUCUACCUGUAAGCUAUCGCCUGAAGAGGGGUUUGCGU
rnacentral:rRNA from 1 species